rnacentral:snRNA from 1 species
AUCGCUUCUCGGCCUUUUGGCUAAGAUCAAGUGUAGUAUCUGACUGAUACCCAGUCUUUAUUGAUAUGCCAGUAUUUGGAAGUGUCCCAUU